GACGAACGCUGGCGGCGUGCUUAACACAUGCAAGUCGAACGGAAAGGCCCUGCUUUUGUGGGGUGCUCGAGUGGCGAACGGGUGAGUAACACGUGAGUAACCUGCCCUUGACUUUGGGAUAACUUCAGGAAACUGGGGCUAAUACCGGAUAGGAGCUCCUGCUGCAUGGUGGGGGUUGGAAAGUUUCGGCGGUUGGGGAUGGACUCGCGGCUUAUCAGCUUGUUGGUGGGGUAGUGGCUUACCAAGGCUUUGACGGGUAGCCGGCCUGGGAGGGUGACCGGCAACAUUGGGACUGGGAUACGGCCCAGAAUCCUACGGGAGGCAGCAGUGGGGAAGAUUGCACAAGGGGCGGAAGCCUGAUGCAGCAACGCCGCGUGCGGGAUGACGGCCUUCGGGUUGUAAACCGCUUUCGCAUGUGACGAAGCGUGAGUGACGGUAAUGGGUAAAGAAGCACCGGCUAACUACGUG
rnacentral:rRNA from 1 species